rnacentral:rRNA from 1 species
AUUGAACGCUGGCGGCAGGCCUAACACAUGCAAGUCGAGCGGAUGAAGGGAGCUUGCUCCUGGAUUCAGCUGCGGACGGGUGAGUAAUGCCUAGGAAUCUGCCUGGUAGUUGGGGAUAACGUCCGUAAACGGGCGCUAAUACCGCAUACGUCCUGAGGGAGAAAGUGGGGGUUCUUCGGACCUCACGCUAUCAGAUGACCCUAGGUCGGAUUAGCUAGUUGGUGUGGUAAAGGCCUACCAAGGCGACGAUCCGUAACUGGUCUGAGAGGAUGAUCAGUCACACUGGAACUGAGACACGGUCCAGACUCCUACGGGAGGCAGCAGUGGGGAAUAUUGGACAAUGGGCGAAAGCCUGAUCCAGCCAUGCCGCGUGUGUGAAGAAGGUCUUCGGAUUGUAAAGCACUUUAAGUUGGGAGGAAGGGAAGUAAGUUAAUACCUUGCUGUUUUGACGUUACCAAAAGAAUAAGCACCGGCUAACUUCGUG